UAGGGAAUCCUCCACAAUGGGCGCAAGCCUGAUGGAGCAACACCGCGUGAGUGAAGAAGGGUUUCGGCUCGUAAAGCUCUGUUGUUAAAGAAGAACACGUAUGAGAGUAACUGUUCAUACGUUGACGGUAUUUAACCAGAAAGUCACGGCUAACUACGUGUCAG
rnacentral:rRNA from 1 species